rnacentral:lncRNA from 1 species
AAGACUGUGACCAUGGCGACAUUAAUAUAUUUCAGACUGCAAAUAAUGCAAAUCAUAAUUAAAUAGAACUCCGAAAAUGAAAGUAUUUCCACUGGAUCUGACCAAUUAAUGUACACAUUUAUAUCAACAACCAUAAUGUUGGAACAUAUCACAGAUUAAAGAGGAAGGUUCACCGGUGCACCUUAAUUUAUAGAUGCAACCCAACAAGGCACAAGUACAUCCAAGGAAAAUAACCCAAAUCAAGAUACAAGGGGCAUUUCAAAUAACAAAAUCCACAUGAAGAAUAAAGUGUUAACUGCGCAGCAAAAAUUGUAUCCAAGCAAUAGUGAAUUGGCAUUACGCCUGCAUUCCUGCUUAUGGGAAAAAGCAAGUCCUCUCUCACCCUAGGGUUUGGUUCUGACGGGUAUCUAUCAAGUUAAGGUCGAGCAGAAGCAAGAUGGACCGCAAACCGUGGACCAUAGGUGAGUAGAUGUGGUUACUCGAGUGAAGGUGUGGGCUAUUCUUGUUUGCGUGUGGCAAAUUCAUGAACAAGUGGAAAGAUCAAAAUCAACAUCAGAUCUUCAGGAGGUAUAUGAAUCUAGCCGAGGAGGGAUCUUGGUUGUUGUCUCAUAUUUUGUGCCUCGUAUUUUGUGUUUGCCCAGGUCUUUGGUUAGAUUGUGGGGUCCAGACCCCUAGGGAAUCUAACAUGUGUAGGGAAUCCUAACUGUAAGGGACUAAGAUUCUUUUACUUAUUCCCUAAAUAUAAAACUUGUGGGAAUUCUAGGGAUAAGUGAGAUUGAGAGGGUUUGUAGACAUACGUUUGUCCCCUUUUCCCCUUUGGUGGUGUCGUGUGCGUGUGUGAUUGUAAGUGUGCUUCUGCACCUGUGUGGGUGUAGGUGGGUUUGAAAACCCCAACACAUCACUUCCUUGAUCAAGGAAAUGUUGAACUUGCUAAAGGAGCAACUGAUACCCAAAGAUAUAACAGGCCCCUUCAUUAGAACAAUCCCUCGCCAUCUAGUUUCAAAAUUUUGCUUUUACAAAAACAAGUUCGGAUUCGAAUGUGAAAAACAUAAAUCCUCUAGAUUCGCACAUAAAAAUAUUACAUGAUAGGGAAUGCUAGUUAUCAAUAACAACCACAGAGGCUCCACAAAAGGGCUAGCCAAAGAGUAAAUGUAGUUUUUUUAGAAGAAAAAUAAUCAUUCUUAUUAUUUUAAGGAAGCAUUACAAGAUAAAUAAUAGAGAAAAAGCCACCAAAUCAGGAAGGACACAAAAUCAGCAAAUCAAAUCAAAUCAGCAAACUAAUAUGCUAGAAUAGGAACCAGAAACAAAAUAAAUCUGAAAUAGUACAUUUUAGAUUUUGUUUGGCCAAAUAGAAUUUCCUAUUUAUUCUUUAGAAUCCACCCCCCCCUCAAGUGGAGCGUAGAUAUUUAUAGUGCCCAACUUGCUUAGCAAGAGCUCAAAACUAGGUCUGAAAAGUCCUUGGUGAAGUAUCAGCUAUUUGUGACGUCGGAGGAACAAAAGGGGCCAUACAAACAGCUCACAUCAAUCUUCUUUUUCUUUUUUCUUUUAUAAAGUGUCUCUCAAUCUUCUACACGUUUUCCGUGCGAUCAUAUUGUCUGGAUUUUGAGCAAUAUUUGUGGCAGCUUUGUUAUCACAAUACAACUUCAUUGGCAUGUUCACCCCACCGGCAUCUUCUGCAAGCUCUGCAAGAAUUCUCUCAGCCAUAGCAUCUCACAACUCCGUAGCCAUAGCCUAUAUUCUGCCUCGGCGCUGAUCCUUGCAAUACAUCUGUUUCUGCUCGCCGCGUGAACCCAAUUUUCCCCAGACAUAAGUACAGUAUCCUGACGUGGAUCCUCCGAUCAAUAACUGAGCCUAACCCAUUUGCAAAUCAGUUAUAUCCUCUUGUUUUGCUGUGUGGGUCUUCUAGAAGAGUAAACCUUUGCCUGGUGUACUUUUCAAGUUCUGAGAAUCCCGAUAAACUGCUUCAGUGUUUUCUCGUAGGUUGAUGCAUAACUGACUUACCAACUCACAUCAGAGCAUAUCAGGCCGUGAUGUGAUAAGUAUUAACUUUCCCACCAUCUUUUGAUACCGAGUUGAUUCACUGGAUCAACUUUCUGUCUUUGCAAGUUUUUCUGAUUAGGAUCGAUUGGAAUGUCCUGCUGGCCUCAACCGUCAUCCCAGUCCUCCUUAGGAGAUCAAGAACAUCUUCCGUUGGGAGACAACAAUCCUUCUUCGACCGAGCAACCGCCAUUCCAAGGAAUACCUCCAAAAUCCUAAGUCCUGAUCUCAAAUGUUGAUGAGAGGGAAUUCUUCAAUCGUUCAUCUCCAGUACGCCAUCUUUAGUGAGAAUAUUCGUCAACAUAUACAAUCAUAUUGCUAUCUUCCCAUCUUUGAAUAUCUUAUAAACAAUCUAUAUCACCUUGGCCCUUGAUUAUACCCCUGACUUUUAACAAAACUGAGUGAUUUCUCAAACCAGGCUCUUGGUACUGUUUUAACCCAAUAUAAGGACUUCUUCAGUUUACACCCUUUUGUGCCCAUCUUUUCAACCAAAUCCUGGAGGUGCAGCCAUGUACACUUCUUUCUCCAGUGCUCCAUUGAACAAUCUUUUUACCUCCAACUGGUGCAGAGGCCCGUCACUAUAAGCUGCAAUUGAACAAAGAACGCUUAAGAGCUUAAACUUUUGUGACGGGGCAAAUGCUCCAGUAAUCAAUGCCAUAGGUCUGAGUGAAUCCCUUGGCAAAAAAAAAAAAAAAAAACCAUCGAGCUUAUGCCGUUUCUAGGAACCAUCAGAUUUAUACUUGAUUGAAGACACAUUGCUCCCUACCAGUUUGUCUUUCCUCUUGGUAGAUCAACUAACUCCCAUGUGUCAUUUUUUUCAGAGCUUUCAUCUCCUCGAGGACAACCUCCUUCCACCAGGAACUUUUCAUAGCAUCCUGCUUCCUGUACAGUAAUUAGGAAAUCUCCCUACACACAAUUUGAUGUAAAAGCAUGAAGACUAUAGAAAUUUUAUAUGACCCAUAUUAGACAAUGAUGCUGGGUGCAAGACCCACACCCUUUUCGACAACAAUGGGAAUUCAUAAUCAUCAAACUCGGGAUUGGGACCAGACUCGGGUUCAGAACUAGAGGACUCAGAACUCGGAGAUGUAAUGGGCUGAACAUGAGAUAAAGUCUCGGUGAGGACAUUACCUGGAGGGUUUACGGAUUCUGGGCAGUGCAAAGAAUUGGAGGACCCAUUCUUUCAAGUUGUCCUCUAUCGCGAGUAUACAAUGUCAAAUGGUACCAGCACUGUGGUUUUUUUUCCAGUUUCUCCGUUGCUAGUUGUUUUAGGAUCAUGAAUAUCACGAGAUGGCACUGUAGGAAGACCUGUAUUUUUCAUAUCUAAAAAAUUCGCUCAUUUUCUC